AGAGAGGGAACAGGAGGUCCUGGAAAGGAGGUGAACAUGCUUGCCUUCAUUCUGAAGUCAGUUAAAAGAUGCCCAUGAAUGGAUGUUUGUUUCAGUGUUGAAUGGACAUGAAAGACUCUACAGAGAUGUUGGGCGUCACAAGGGAAACCUACCUUAAAAUGGCUAAGAACUUAGAAGUUGCCAAUGACUGUUGGAAAAGACAGAUAAAAGAGGGCUAAAAAUAAAAAGCACAACUGGAUGCCCUUGAGGAAAGGGCUAUUUUCAGAGUGCCUGGAUGGACAGCAAAGAAAUCAAACCAACCACUUAAAUAAAAAUUUAUUGACAAUAAAUAAUUUUAUACAUUAAAAAAGAA
rnacentral:lncRNA from 1 species